UAUCAAUGUCCUGCUGAAAGGAUACAUUGGGGAGCUCGGUGAUCCAGGCCAACCUGGACUUGCUGGACGCCAAGGCCUUGUAGGAUUUCCUGGACCUGACGGGCCGCCAGGAGAUUCAUCUGAUCUACCAGGGCCACGGGGUCCUGAUGGACCUCAGGGUCCCAAAGGAGAUACUGGCGACCCAGGCUUUCAUUAUCCAGGACCCUCUGGUCCCGAAGGGGAUCCUGGUGAACAGGGUCCUCCGGGAGAUC